rnacentral:rRNA from 1 species
GACGAACGCUGGCGGCGUGCUUAACACAUGCAAGUCGAACGGAAAGGCCCUGCUUUUGUGGGGUGCUCGAGUGGCGAACGGGUGAGUAACACGUGAGUAACCUGCCCUUGACUUUGGGAUAACUUCAGGAAACUGAGGCUAAUACCGGAUAGGAGCUCCUGCUGUAUGGUGGGGGUUGGAAAGUUUCGGCGGUUGGGGAUGGACUCGCGGCUUAUCAGCUUGUUGGUGGGGUAGUGGCUUACCAAGGCUUUGACGGGUAGCCGGCCUGAGAGGGUGACCGGCCACAUUGGGACUGAGAUACGGCCCAGACUCCUACGGGAGGCAGCAGUGGGGAAUAUUGCACAAUGGGCGGAAGCCUGAUGCAGCAACGCCGCGUGCGGGAUGACGGCCUUCGGGUUGUAAACCGCUUUCGCCUGUGACGAAGCGUGAGUGACGGUAAUGGGUAAAGAAGCACCGGCUAACUACGUGCCAGCAGCCGCGGUGAUACGUAGGGUGCGAGCGUUGUCCGGAUUUAUUGGGCGUAAAGGGCUCGUAGGUGGUUGAUCGCGUCGGAAGUGUAAUCUUGGGGCUUAACCCUGAGCGUGCUUUCGAUACGGGUUGACUUGAGGAAGGUAGGGGAGAAUGGAAUUCCUGGUGGAGCGGUGGAAUGCGCAGAUAUCAGGAGGAACACCAGUGGCGAAGGCGGUUCUCUGGGCCUUUCCUGACGCUGAGGAGCGAAAGCGUGGGGAGCGAACAGGCUUAGAUACCCUGGUAGUCCACGCUGUAAACGGUGGGUACUAGGUGUGGGGUCCAUUCCACGGGUUCCGUGCCGUAGCUAACGCUUUAAGUACCCCGCCUGGGGAGUACGGCCGCAAGGCUAAAACUCAAAGGAAUUGACGGGGCCCCGCACAAGCGGCGGAGCAUGCGGAUUAAUUCGAUGCAACGCGUAGAACCUUACCUGGGUUUGACAUGGAUCGGGAGCGCUCAGAGAUGGGUGUGCCUCUUUUGGGGUCGGUUCACAGGUGGUGCAUGGCUGUCGUCAGCUCGUGUCGUGAGAUGUUGGGUUAAGUCCCGCAACGAGCGCAACCCUUGUUCACUGUUGCCAGCACGUUAUGGUGGGGACUCAGUGGAGACCGCCGGGGUCAACUCGGAGGAAGGUGGGGAUGACGUCAAGUCAUCAUGCCCCUUAUGUCCAGGGCUUCACGCAUGCUACAAUGGCUGGUACAGAGAGUGGCGAGCCUGUGAGGGUGAGCGAAUCUCGGAAAGCCGGUCUCAGUUCGGAUUGGGGUCUGCAACUCGACCUCAUGAAGUCGGAGUCGCUAGUAAUCGCAGAUCAGCAACGCUGCGGUGAAUACGUUCCCGGGGCU